AUUUUCUGCCACCGAAUACAUUAGCAUGGGAUAAUGGAAUAGGACCCUGUCCUCCUAUUUUCAGUUGGUUUUGGCAGCGCGAGGACUAGGGUAAUGAUUAAUAGGGAUAGUUGGGGGCAUUAAUAUUUAAUUGUCAGAGGUGAAAUUCUUGGAUUUAUGAAAGAUUAACUUCUGCGAAAGCAUCUGCCAAGGAUGUUUUCAUUAAUCAAGAACGAAAGUUAGGGGAUCGAAGACGAUCAGAUACCGUCGUAGUCUUAACCAUAAACGAUGCCGACCAGCGAUUAGGAGACGUUGAAUACAAAACACCACCAUCGGCGCGGUCGCCCUUGGCGUUCGUGUUCACGCACGGGCGCGAGGGCGGCUUAGCCCGAUGGCACCGGUGAAUGACUCCC
rnacentral:rRNA from 1 species